rnacentral:rRNA from 1 species
UCCACGCCCUAAACGAUGCGAACUGGAUGUUGGGCUCACUUCGGAGCUCAGUAUCGAAGCUAACGCGUUAAGUUCGCCGCCUGGGGAGUACGGUCGCAAGACUGAAACUCAAAGGAAUUGACGGGGGCCCGCACAAGCGGUGGAGUAUGUGGUUUAAUUCGAUGCAACGCGCAGAACCUUACCUGGCCUUGACAUCCACGGAACUUUCCAGAGAUGGAUU